GACAGUCGCUCCGUGAGGUGACACUCUGUGAGGCGACAGUCGCUCCGUGAGGUGACAGUCGCUCCGUGAGGUGACAGACGCUCCGUGAGGCGACAGUCGCUCCGUGAGGUGACAGACACUCCGUGAGGUGACAGACACUCCGUGAGGUGACACUCCGUGAGGUGACAGACAUUCCAUGAGGUGACAGACAUUCCAUGAGGUGACAGACGCUCCGUGAGGUGACACUCUGUGAGGCGACAGUCGCUCCGUGAGGUGACAGACACUCCGUGAGGUGACAGUCGCUCCGUGAGGCGACAGUCGCGUGCAGGCUGUGAGGAGGUGGAGAAGGGGGCCUCCCCACGGGGUGCGGGCAUUGGGUCCCUGCCGGACGCCAGCCCCAGCCGUGUUCAGAGCUCGAGAAGGUGCGUAGAGUCGGCGUAGAGAGAAAA